GAUGUUUGCUGUUUGUUGAUUGAUUGAUUGAUUGUUGUUUGUUGAGUGGUAUCAAACUUUGGUAUUUGUAGUUCCUGACCAUAGGUAACAGACCUUGCACUAUUCUUUUUUCUGAACUUUUUUGUGAUUAUGUCUUAUGUGGAUAUCAUAUUCUCUUUUUGGUAUUACUGUUGUCCAGUCCUUCGAAUAAUGCAUUUCUAAGUAUUUAAGGUACAGGACAUAUCACAUUUGCUCUUUAUUGUGUUGCUAAGGACAUUGAUGGGUUGAGUUGGCAUAUAGCGCAGUCGUGGAUCUCUCAUCAACCUGCUUAGCUCUUUCUGGAUAGGACAGAGGUACAAUAUUUACAUCCAUGGCAGAAGGUUCUUAACCCUGAACUCAUCAAAGGUCCUUGGACUCAAGAGGAAGAUGACAAAAUUAUUGAUCUUGUAAGCAAGUAUGGACCAACAAAAUGGUCUCAUUGCAAGGACCUGUAGAAGGGCCCUCCCACCUCAGCGCAGGUGAUUUCCCCU